GCCUAACACAUGCAAGUCGAGCGGUAACAGAAAGUAGCUUGCUACUUUGCUGACGAGCGGCGGACGGGUGAGUAAUGCUUGGGAACAUGCCUUGAGGUGGGGGACAACAGUUGGAAACGACUGCUAAUACCGCAUAAUGUCUUCGGACCAAAGGGGGCUUCGGCUCUCGCCUUUAGAUUGGCCCAAGUGGGAUUAGCUAGUUGGUGAGGUAAUGGCUCACCAAGGCAACGAUCCCUAGCUGGUUUGAGAGGAUGAUCAGCCACACUGGAACUGAGACACGGUCCAGACUCCUACGGGAGGCAGCAGUGGGGAAUAUUGCACAAUGGGCGAAAGCCUGAUGCAGCCAUGCCGCGUGUGUGAAGAAGGCCUUCGGGUUGUAAAGCACUUUCAGUCAGGAGGAAAGGGUGUGAGUUAAUACCUCACAUCUGUGACGUUACUGACAGAAGAAGCACCGGCUAACUCCGUGCCAGCAGCCGCGGUAAUACGGAGGGUGCGAGCGUUAAUCGGAAUUACUGGGCGUAAAGCGUACGCAGGCGGUUUGUUAAGCGAGAUGUGAAAGCCCCGGGCUCAACCUGGGAACUGCAUUUCGAACUGGCAAACUAGAGUGUGAUAGAGGGUGGUAGAAUUUCAGGUGUAGCGGUGAAAUGCGUAGAGAUCUGAAGGAAUACCGAUGGCGAAGGCAGCCACCUGGGUCAACACUGACGCUCAUGUACGAAAGCGUGGGGAGCAAACGGGAUUAGAUACCCCGGUAGUCCACGCCGUAACGAUGUCUACUAGAAGCUCGGAACCUCGGUUCUGUUUUUCAAAGCUAACGCAUUAAGUAGACCGCCUGGGGAGUACGGCCGCAAGGUUAAAACUCAAAUGAAUUGACGGGGGCCCGCACAAGCGGUGGAGCAUGUG
rnacentral:rRNA from 1 species